rnacentral:lncRNA from 7 species
AUUGAAUAAGAGGAGUAACUGAACCAGCUAGGCUCCAGUGCCCCUGACGUUCUGAAAGACCAAAGUCUGCUGACCCCCUUUUCCUGCUGGAGAAGCAUUUAGAUAACUGUUCAGUCUACAGCAUGUUUGGGCAGAUGCAGCUUUGAAAGAGAGAAAUGCUUCAGCAGGUUGGGAGAAGGGCCCCAUGGGAACUGAAAAAAAAAGAUAAUGUGUGCUUUGCAUCAUGUGGCAGCAGGAGCCCUGCUUUUGGCUGCGAAGAGAGGAGCAUAUGGCAGGAGUGAAGGUAGUUGCUGAAUGUCCCAUUCUCAAGUCACUGUUUGUGGACAUUUACAGGAGGAAAGCAAUGAUUAAGAGGUGGAUGAAUACCUAUUCAGGUGCACUUUUAAAAAGUCAGUGGUCAUAGUUCAUUGUUUAUAAUGGAGAAAAGAGCCAGAACUGCUCCCCAGUGCAGCUAGAAGCCAGUAUCUCAUGCUAAUACAGAAAGCAGAAAGGAAAGAUAAGGGAAAAGAGGGAAUGGAAGGAAGUGGAAGAACGAAAAAGAGAUGUUUCUAAUGUCCCUUUUUUUUUUAGUUGUUGUUUUGGUGUUUGUUUGUUUGUUUUGUUUGUUUUUUUCCCCCAUGGGAUAUUUGAUAGAAUUAAUCUCUUUCCGGGGGAGCACUCCGACUGCUGAGCAGGGAGGUAGAAACUGCAGCUCCAGGGAGUAAGCUCUGCUAACCCAUUUCCCAGAGCAGGGGUGCUGGCGGGGCAUGACUCAACCCCAUCAACUAAGAAUUAGCCAGUGUUAAUUAACACAAAAUCUGAAAGGGAUCUUUGAAGGAGUGAAUUUGUCAAUAUGAGGCAGGGCCAGAUCUCAGCUGCAAGUCACGUACUGAGUUGAAAGCAAGCAAACAGCCUUCCUGAAAUGUGAGCCUGUGGGAGGGAGCGGAGGAGGUGUUUGGCGAGCUGCUGAGCAACAGUUGCCUCAACUAUUUGUAUUUAUUUUACUUGUUUAUUUCUGUCGUCUUUAUUUUUAUUCCCCUGCUUGAAAUAAUCCACAGUCUGGUAAAAUACCCUAGGGCCCAUUUAACAACUGUAAUGCCAUUUGUAGGAUGGGUUGGCUCUUUUAUUUUUUAUUUUUUAUUAUUUUUAACAGCUUCUUAUCAUUCUUGGCUCUAGAAAUAAGUCAUGCUGAAAUCAGGCUGAGUCAGGGAAUUUCUUAAUUGCCUCCCUUCAACAAAAUGGCACUUAGGGAACCUUACAUCCCUUACUGUUGCUGCUUCACCAGAAGCAUUGCCUUCACUGCUUAUCUGCCUGCUCUGCAUAGGAAUGAGGGGAGAUGAUUUGCAGAGUCAAGGCUGUUAUAAAAAUAAGAUUGGAUUCGUCUGCAUAGCAUUUCAUUGGAAAUUGUGUAUAAGCUACAGCAAAUUUUAAUGAGGGGGCCCUUCUCCCUCUCAUUUCCCGAAUGGAGGAGGGUUCUCGUGGUCAUAACUAGUCUCAAAUAUUGUACAUCUGCCCUGGUCCUGUUUUUAUCUCCAAGUCACUUUUGUGACACUACCUAACCAGCCAUGCCCAUGAAAAAUAUACUUGGACAAUGAAGACAUUUUAAAAUACAGAAUUUAUUUUUAUUAAUUAUAAAUAUUAAUUAUUUGUCCCUUAGUUUUUCCACUUAUUUUCCUCUCUCCCUGUUCUAUUUCUUGCUUAUAGAAAGCAGAGUCACUAACGGGUCUAACACAGAUAUUUACAGAAAUAAAGAAAUCAAACU